UCUGAUACACAAAAUUUCCAAAAGUAAUUUUAUGCUAAGGCAACGUAAAUUUCUCUCCACUUCUCCACUCCGUUCGCCUCUUCUUCUCCAUUUGUUUGCCUGAAAUCUGGACUUCUGCACUCCGUUCGCCUCUUCUUCUCCAUUUUAGCUUGAAAUAUGUACUUCUCCACUCCGUUCGCCUCUUUUUCUCCAUUUGACGCCUGAAAUCUAGACUUCUCCACUGCGUUCGCCUCUUCUUCUCCAUUGUACGCCUGAAAUCUAGACUUCACAACUCCGUUCCCCUCUUCUUCUCCAUAGUAUUACUACUUGCUUUCACAAUGAAGUCAAGAGAGCUUUGAAGAAAAGCACUUAAUUGGAAUCCUUCAUUCACUUGAUUCGUGGAAUGAAGCUUUGAAUGGGGUGACUGCUAUUGUUCAAUUUCGUAUUAACCCUUCAAUAGAGAGGAAUUCUAGGAAACCUUCUUUCACCGGAUUCAUGGGAAUGCAAAUAUCAAUGCAAUUAGUGCCGCUUCAGAAAAAGGUGAAACCUGUGUUGGAUGAAGAGAAAUCCAAGGCUAUCGGCGUAGUCUUUAAUAAUGGGCGUGUGAAGAAGCGACCUGCAAAAUUAGCGAAAGUGAGUUUCAAAAUUUCUUGGGCAAGACUUAUUUCACAGUAUUCGCAGAAUCGUCACAUGAACAUGCGUGGUGCUGUUUUUACUGUUGAAAGUUCUUGAGAAUGGGUAUAAGAUGAAGUAAAUGCAGCAAACAAGAUUUUCCAGCCUCCAUACACUAUCAGCAAUGGGUACGAAUCACACCCACCUCUCUGUCUCGAAUUAAGCCAGCCCCAGCCUAAAAAAAAUGAGAUGCUACCAAAAUCAAUGCAACUGGGACUGCAGCUGCAUUAACAAAAAGUUGACAACUAGGGAAGCACAUCACUCCUUACUCUAUCAAUAACUUGCCCCACAGUUCAAAAGUCAAGCUUGAUCAGUUGUGAAAAUGCAAGAGUACUUUUUCGGUAAAGCACAAUUUGGAAUGGAAGAUGGUAUGCA